UAUAUCGGUGUUUGCUGGGAUAUAUCUUAUAAAAUAUUCAUUUUUUGGUCUUACCUUAUAGAGGAAUCAGAUAAGAUUAGCUGGUGUGCCUUGCAGUAGCUCACUCCUCUCCCAGAUAAACAGCAUUAGAAGAUCCUUUCACUUGCUGAUAAUACUCAUGUCAUAUGAGGAUGCAUCUGUUAAUGUUUAUGCAAGCAUUUUCAAUUUUAAAAUGUUAUGCAGACAAUCUGCUGAUAUACGUCUAUCUGGGCUAAUAAACAUAGAUAUAUGUGAUAAUAUGUGGAUAUUCAUUAGAUUAAAAGAGUUAUCAUGGAUUUUUAUAGCUCUUUGAUAGACAUGGAUGUACAAUGGAUAUGGAUAUCCAAUAAUGGAUAUGGAUAUCCUUGAUAGAUUUUCACUGGAUAUGAACAUGUGGACAUUCAUUGGAUAUUCUUAAUAGAUUUUCGGUGGAUAUAAAUAUUUGAAUAUUAUGUGGAUAUCCUUAGUAAAGAAGUGGACAU